UAGUUGGAGGUGGAUUGGG
rnacentral:piRNA from 1 species